AUACGGAGGGUGCAAGCGUUACUUGGAAUCACUGGGCGUAAAGCGCGCGCAGGCGGUCUUUUAAGUUGGAUGUGAAAGCCUACGGCUCAACCGUAGAACUGCAUCCAAAACUAUUAGACUAGAGUGUGGGAGAGGAAGAUGGAAUUAGUUGUGUAGGGGUAAAAUCCGUAGAGAUAACUAGGAAUACCAAAAGCGAAGGCAAUCUUCUGGAACACUACUGACGCUGAGGCGCGAAAGCGUGGGGAGCAAACAGGAUUAGAUACCCGGGUAGUCC
rnacentral:rRNA from 1 species